UGGGGAAUAUUGGACAAUGGGGGCAACCCUGAUCCAGCAAUGCCGCGUGUGUGAAGAAGGUCUUCGGAUUGUAAAGCACUUUCGACGGGGACGAUGAUGACGGUACCCGUAGAAGAAGCCCCGGCUAACUUCGUGCCAGCAGCCGCGGUAAUACGAAGGGGGCUAGCGUUGCUCGGAAUGACUGGGCGUAAAGGGCGUGUAGGCGGUUUACACAGUCAGAUGUGAAAUCCCCGGGCUUAACCUGGGAGCUGCAUUUGAUACGUGUAGACUAGAGUGUGAGAGAGGGUUGUGGAAUUCCCAGUGUAGAGGUGAAAUUCGUAGAUAUUGGGAAGAGCACCGGUGGCGAAGGCGGCAACCUGGCUCAUGACUGACGCUGAGGCGCGAAAGCGUGGGGAGCAAANCAGGAUUAGAUACCCUGGUAGUCCACGCUGUAAACGAUGUGUGCUAGAUGUUGGGUAACUUUGUUAUUCAGUGUCGCAGUUAACGCGUUAAGCACACCGCC
rnacentral:rRNA from 1 species